rnacentral:lncRNA from 1 species
GGUACCCAUAAUGUGUGGAACUCGUGAUCAGAGAAUCCUGAUUCUCGAUCACUGAGUCUCAAAUAUGUAGGAUUCUACAUCAGCCAUCAGAUUAGAUAAGAACCUCUAAUGUGUGUGACCCCGCAGGUUUGAACCUAAGCCGGUAGCACAGGAACCAAUUCCUGUACUAAUCGAAGUGACCAUCUAGCAAUAGUACCUG